UGGGGAAUAUUGCACAAUGGGCGCAAGCCUGAUGCAGCCAUGCCGCGUGUGUGAAGAAGGCCUUCGGGUUGUAAAGCACUUUCAGCGAGGAGGAAGGUGGUGAACUUAAUACGUUCAUCAAUUGACGUUACUCGCAGAAGAAGCACCGGCUAACUCCGUGCCAGCAGCCGCGGUAAUACGGAGGGUGCAAGCGUUAAUCGGAAUUACUGGGCGUAAAGCGCACGCAGGCGGUUUGUUAAGUCAGAUGUGAAAUCCCCGGGCUCAACCUGGGAACUGCAUUUGAAACUGGCAAGCUAGAGUCUCGUAGAGGGGGGUAGAAUUCCAGGUGUAGCGGUGAAAUGCGUAGAGAUCUGGAGGAAUACCGGUGGCGAAGGCGGCCCCCCUGGACGAAGACUGACGCUCAGGUGCGAAAGCGUGGGAGCAAACAGGAUUAGAUACCCUGGUAGUCCACGCUGUAAACGAUGUCGAUUUGGAGGUUGUGCCCUUGAGGCGUGGCUUCCGGAGCUAACGCGUUAAAUCGACCGCCUGGGGAGUACGGCCGCAAGGUUAAAACUCAAAUGAAUUG
rnacentral:rRNA from 1 species